GGAACGGUGUCCGAGUGGUUGAAGGAGCACGCCUGGAAAGCGUGUAUAGGGGCAACUCUAUCGAGGGUUCGAAUCCCUCUCGUUCCGCCA
rnacentral:tRNA from 6 species